CGUUAAUCUUGCAGAGACGGCGAGCUUGAGCGGGGAGUUCUUUGGCGUGAGUGAGCAGGAUCACACUGCUCCCCAUCUGUACCUGCUCUUCCAUGCUGUUGAUGAUGACCAGGUCUCCACCCAGAUCCUGACAGCGUUCUCUGCUGCUGUUCCAGUCCAUGGUAUCAGUGGAGAAAA